rnacentral:rRNA from 1 species
GCACCGGCUAACUACCGUGCCAGCAGCCGCGGUAAUACGGAGGGUGCGAGCGUUAAUCGGAAUUACUGGGCGUAAAGACGCAUGCAGGCGGCCUGUUAAGUCAGAUGUGAAAGACCCGGGGCGUUAACCUCGGAAUUGCAUUUGAAACUAGGCAGGCUAGAGUCUUGUAGAGGGGGGUAGGGAAGUUUCAGGUGUAGCGGUGAAAUAGCGUAGAGAUCUGAAGGAAUACCAGUGGCGAAGGCGGCCCCCUCGGACAAAGACUGACGCUCAGAUGCGAAAGCGUGGGGAGCAAACAGGAUUAGAUACCCUGGUAG